GGCAAGGGAUGCCUCAGUAGCGGCGAGUGAAGCGGCAAGAGCUCAGAUUUGAAAUCUCACCUAGUGUGCGAGUUGUAAAUUGCAGGUUGGAGUCUCGGGUUAGACGUGUGUGCAAGUCCCUUGGAACAGGGUGCCACUGAGGGUGAGAGCCCCGUAUCGUGCAUGUCGACACCUGUGAGGCCCUUCUGACGAGUCGAGUUGUUUGGGAAUGCAGCUCUAAGUGGGUGGUAAAUUCCAUCUAAGGCUAAAUAUUGGCGAGAGACCGAUAGCGAACAAGUACUGUGAAGGAAAGAUGAAAAGCACUUUGAAAAGAGAGUGAAACAGCACGUGAAAUUGUUGAAAGGGAAGGGUAUUGGGCUCGACAUGGGAUUUACGCAUCGUUGCCUCUCGUGGGCGGCGCUCUGGGUUUUUCCUGGGCCAGCAUCGGUUUUCGUUGCAGGAUAAGGACAAUUGGAAUGUGGCUCCUCGGAGUGUUAUAGCCUUUUGUAGAUGCUGCGUAUGGGGACCGAGGGCUGCGGCGGACUCGUUUCGUCUCGGAUGCUGGCACAACGGCGCAAUACCGCCCGUCUUA
rnacentral:rRNA from 1 species